rnacentral:rRNA from 1 species
AGUCGAGCGAGUCUGCCUUGAAGAUCGGAGUGCUUGCACUCUGUGAAACAAGAUACAGGCUAGCGGCGGACGGGUGAGUAACACGUGGGUAACCUGCCCAAGAGAUCGGGAUAACACCUGGAAACAGAUGCUAAUACCGGAUAAUAACAGAUGAUGCCUAUCAACUGUUUAAAAGAUGGUUCUGCUAUCACUCUUGGAUGGACCUGCGGUGCAUUAGCUAGUUGGUAGGGUAACGGCCUACCAAGGCGAUGAUGCAUAGCCGAGUUGAGAGACUGAUCGGCCACAUUGGGACUGAGACACGGCCCAAACUCCUACGGGAGGCAGCAGUAGGGAAUCUUCCACAAUGGACGCAAGUCUGAUGGAGCAACGCCGCGUGAGUGAAGAAGGGUUUCGGCUCGUAAAGCUCUGUUGUUGGUGAAGAAGGACAGGGGUAGUAACUGACCUUUGUUUGACGGUAAUCAAUUAGAAAGUCACGGCUAACUACGUGCCAGCAGCCGCGGUAAUACGUAGGUGGCAAGCGUUGUCCGGAUUUAUUGGGCGUAAAGCGAGUGCAGGCGGUUCGAUAAGUCUGAUGUGAAAGCCUUCGGCUCAACCGGAGAAUUGCAUCAGAAACUGUCGAGCUUGAGUACAGAAGAGGAGAGUGGAACUCCAUGUGUAGCGGUGAAAUGCGUAGAUAUAUGGAAGAACACCGGUGGCGAAGGCGGCUCUCUGGUCUGUUACUGACGCUGAGGCUCGAAAGCAUGGGUAGCGAACAGGAU